rnacentral:lncRNA from 1 species
AUGGCUGAGGGCCACGGGUCAUGCCUGAGGGCUGUGGGUCGUGCCCGAGGGCCACGGGUCGUGCCUGAGGGCCGCAGGUCAUGGCUGAGGGUCACAGGUCCUGCCCGAGGGCCAUGGGUCCUGCCUGAGGACUGUGGGUCAUGCCUGAGAGCCACAGGUUGUGCCCGGGGCCUGCGGCCACUCUCCCCACCCAGGCUCUCUCUCAUGGCUGUCCUGCUGCCGGGCCAGGCUGGGCUCUGCAGAUGGGGCACAGGGCAGCAGAGGUGGGCACACCUGGAGUUCCCUGAGGGACCCUCUGGGCAACCACCUUUGCAAACACUCACAGUCAGACUCAGGUGUGAAGGCCUUUGGGUCAGAAAACAAAGACAUCUCAGGUGGACACAGUGCUUGGAGAAGAAAGAGGAAAGCACGCUGUGUUUUCACAGGGACAGCCACAGCCAGGCCCUGGCAGAGCUGCCAGGCUGCCAUCAGUCCUGGGGACAUUCAGCAGGGACAGAAAGCUUUGUCCCAUGGGUUCUCCCCUGUGGCAGGGGACACAGCUCCUUGAGCUGUGCCCAGGACCAGCUCCUGACACUGGAGCUGCCCCUCAGCCCCGGCAGGGCUGUGUGCAGCCAGGCCAGGCCGAGCAGCCACGCUGGGGCUAGCACCUGCCCGUGGCAGCCGGGCUGUGAGGCACAGCCCUGCCAUCAAAGUGUGCCUCUCAGCUGGGCUCAGAACAAGGCUUCUCCCUUAGGGGCCCCAGCAGCCUGUACCUGUGCCAGGCCUGGUGGCACAGCAGUCCAGGAACAGUUGUCCCUGGGCACAAAGGAGGGAGUUCCUGUCCACUGGGAUCCUUCUCACAGACAGGCCUAUGCCUGCAGCUCCCCCAGCCUCUCCUGCUGCCCAGGGCAGGUAUCCCAUGAGUGCUGUGGUUCAUGGCAGCCCCGUGGGCAUGUGUUCCCUGUGAGCCAUCCUCCAGCACCAGCUGAGCCCGUGGGCACAGAGAGCCCCACAGCAAAGUUCCUCCGUGGAACAGCAAUAAUUUUGUAUAGUCCGAUUCCUGCGUGUGCUGGGGUGUGGGAUUUUGUUACACAGGUAACAGGGUUUGUACCAGGUUUCUUUUCAGAAUAUAUUUAUACAAAAUGUUAUAAAAAUUAA